CAGAUCAAAAAUUCAUUUAAAAUUAAGGAAGUUAAUUUGUUGCGCAACAAAUUAAGGGAAUAAUAAUAGACAAUCAAGAGAAAUUUUAGGUAGCAGGGAGAUAAAUAAAAUGGUGCGUCCGAGUAGACUCGAACUACCGACCCCCACCA
rnacentral:antisense_RNA from 1 species